CCGUCACACUAUGGGAGCUGGCCAUGCCCGAAGUUGUUACCUUAACCGCAAGGAGGGGGAUGCCGAAGGCAGGGCUAGUGACUGGAGUGAAGUCAUA
rnacentral:ncRNA from 1 species